AGCACGCGCGCCGAGAAUCUGGGGUCGGUGAAGGCUCGGUCUGCCUGGGACGCCAGGCCGCUCCUUCGAGACAGCGGGACCGCUGCGCCACAGAGCCCGCCGAAAGUCAACCAGCUCCGCGCCGCCUGGCCCGACAGAGGCGGGGAAUCCAGUGGACCCAGCCCCUUUCCGCAGGCAGCCGCCGAUCUCCGGUGUCCUGCCCGCUGACACGGCUGGAAACUAGCUGGGCCGCAAGCCCCGCCGUCCCUCCCCUGCAGUCCCCCGACUCACCUGUCUCUACAGUGAACACCUUCACAAAGCCACUAACGAAAACGCUACACCGCCGCGGCCGCCUUGAGGAAUUCGGCUCGCCUCAAUAAAAUGGCGACUGGCUGGGGGCGGGAACAGCAACCAACCAAUCAUCCGCCGCCUCCUGGGAACUCUUGCACCAAUGUCCUCGAAGCUCCUUGAGUGACAUGAAAUCGGACCAAUGGAAAGGAAAAUAAGGCUGGACGAGUUAGGCCCGCCCCCCGCGACCUAGGCGACGGCACCAAGCUCUGGAAAGGCCGGCUUCUUCUUCCAAUGGGAGCUCACCGCAUCUGGGCGAGACGCACCCACACGCCCCACCCGAAGCCACAAGCGACCAAUCAGAAAAGCAAAAAGGUUUCCUAUUUGCCCUGCCAAUCAAUUCUGGGACUUUUCAAGGAUUGAACUAACCCCGGGAGCAUUCUGACCAACCCAAUGCUGCUCCAGCUCCAGGGGAUCAGAUGCCCUCUUCUGGCUUCUUCAGAAAACACCUCCGUGCUUUUAGAUGCUGAUGGCUCCAGAGAGGAUUGACUGAGCCAGGAAGACCCAUCCUGAAUGCGGGCAGCACUUCCCCAGGAGUGGACAUCCUGGGAUGGCCUGUCCCUGUCCUAAUGUGAUUGGACAGAGAAAAUGCUGCAACAGGAACUCACAGAGAUCUUCCUGCCUCUGCUUACCAAGUGAUGGAUUAAAGAUGUGAAUCACCAUGCCUAACAAGGUUUCUGCCUUGAGUUCCUGCCUUGACAUCCUUCAAUGACAGAUUGUAAUCUGUAAGUCAAAUAAACCAUUUCCUUCCCAA